GACAGAGGGUGCAAACGUUGCUCGGAAUUACUGGGCGUAAAGCGCGUGUAGGCGGGCCACCAAGUCAGAUGUGAAAUCCCUGAGCUCAACUCAGGAACUGCAUUUGAAACUGUUGGCCUUGAGUGGUGGAGAGGGAAGCGGAAUUCCUGGUGUAGAGGUGAAAUUCGUAGAUAUUCGGAAGAACACCAGUGGCGAAGGCGACUUACUGGACACAUAUUGACGCUGAGGUGCGAAAGCGUGGGGAGCAAACAGG
rnacentral:rRNA from 1 species